AGCUGUUGGACACAAAAAAAAUAUAUAUUUUGAAGAAUGUUGGUACCCAAACAGUUGACCGUAGCCAUUGUCUUCCAUAGUAAUUUCUUCCAUAUUAUGCAAGUCAAUGGCUACCAGCAACUGUUUGGGUACCAAC